GUGCUGGCUUUGGCAGGCAGCACAUACACUAAAACUGGAAAGAUACAGAAAAGAUUAGCACGGCCCCUGUAUAAGGAUGACGUGCAAAUUCAUGAAAAAUACCUUAUUUUU
rnacentral:snRNA from 1 species